rnacentral:rRNA from 1 species
CGCGUAGGCUGUUGAGUAAGUCAAAUGUGAAAUCCCCGGGCUUAACCUGGGAACUGCAUUCGAUACUGCUUAACUAGAGUAUGGUAGAGGGAAGUGGAAUUCCGGGUGUAGCGGUGAAAUGCGUAGAUAUCCGGAGGAACACCAGUGGCGAAGGCGACUUCCUGGGCCAAUACUGACGCUGAGGUGCGUAAGCGUGGGGAGCAAACA